CACUGUAAGACGCGAUAAGACGCCAUUGUAUUUGUGAUAAGUGACAAUCACAUACUGUUAAUGCUUUCAAUUGAUUGUCAUUUUGUAUUUUAAUAUUUAGUAAUUGUUGUUUUCAAAAGCCAUCAGUAGUGAAUCAGUUUUAUCGUGAUUUUUUUACAAUUAACCUUUGAGUAGGAAGGUUAUUUUGUAUAUACGAAAUGGGUGAAGAUAACGCAUCUCAAGAUAGUGCACCUCAAGCUCAACAGAAUAAUGCAAAGGAGAAAAGUAAUAAUGAUAACGCACACUCUGGUCCAGGAGGUGGUGGAGGACCUGGAAAUCAAGGAUUUGGAGGUGGACGUGGUGGCGGCGGCGUCGGCGGCGUCGGCGGCCGUGGAGGAGGAGGUCCUGGAGGACAUCGUAGAGGUGGUUCUCGAUUCUCCGGUGGUCGCGGUGGAGGACAAGGUGGAAGAAACGAUGGAAUGAAAAUGAAUGACGGAAUGGAUGGUGGAAAUUCUGAGGGAAUGGGAGGAAUGGGGGGAGGUAAUAAUAUGGGUGGUCGUGGUGGAAUGCGUGGUAGAGGACGAGGAGGAGGUGGUGGAGGAGGUCCUGGUGGUCCUGGAGGUGAUCGAGGAAAUAUGAUGAAUCGUUCGCAAGACGAUCGAUUAUUGGAUCGUAUUAUGAGUUUAAAUGGACCAACACAUGAAUUACCGCCACAAGACACAACGGAGAAGAAAUUCUCCGGUAGAAAUCGUCUUUAUUUGGGAAACUUGACCAAUGACGUGACAGAUGAGGAAAUUCAACAAUUAUUUUCGCCAUAUGGUGAAGUUUCUGAAAUUUUCAUUAACAAAGAAAAGAAUUUUGCGUUUUUAAAAAUGGACUAUCGUUUGAAUGCUGAAAAAGCAAAGCGUGAAUUAGAUGCAUCGCCUCGUAAAGGUCGCGCUUUAAAAGUACGAUUUGCUCCAAGCUCAGUGACUGUUAAAGUUAAGAAUCUUACACCAUGGGUUUCAAAUGAACUUCUUGAACGUGCAUUUAGUGUUUUUGGUGAUAUUGAACGUGCUAUUGUAAUAGUCGAUGAAAGAGGCAAAUCAUCAGGUGAAGGUAUCGUUGAAUUUGCUAGAAAACCAUGCGCACAACAAGCAAUUAGAAAAUGUACAGAUGGUUGUUACUUCCUCACCGCAUCAUUACGACCAGUGGUGGCUGAAAUUUUCGAACCACAAGACGAUAUUGACGGUUAUCCUGACAAAAAUUUACCAAAGAAACAUCCAGAUUUUUAUUCAUCUCGCGAAGUUGGACCUCGUUUUGCUCAGAUUGGUAGUUUUGAGCAUGAAUAUGGCACAAGAUGGAAACAAUUACACGAGUUGUACAAGCAAAAGGAGGAAGCAUUGAAAAGAGAGAUGGUAAUGGAAGAAGAGAAGCUGGAAGCUCAGAUGGAAUUCGCCAGAUACGAGCACGAAACUGAAGUCCUUCGAGAACAAUUACGCAUGAGAGAAGCUGACAGAGAUAGACAAAAGAGAGAAUGGGAAAUGAAGGAGAGACAAGCUGAAGAACAAAGAACACGCGAAGAAGAAAUGAGAAGAAGACAACAAGAUGAAAUGUCUAUGCGCAUUAGAAAGCAAGAAGAAGAACUGCACAGAAGACAACAAGAAAAUAAUCUAUUUAUGCAGGAACAAGCAAUGAGAGGUGGAAAAAAUUACGAUUCAGUUAGUAACAAUGAUGAUGCUGCAGGCAACUUACCAGUGGAUAAAUCCAUCAUUUUCAAGAAGAAAUAUGAUGAAGAUGAUAGUGACAAUGAAGAAAUAGAGGAAGAAGAAGAUGAAGAUGCUGAUGAGAUGCAAAAGGGAUUCACUGUCAAUGUUCGUUUAGAUUCUUUAUCAUAUGGAACUGUUGAUCUAAAACUUGAAAAUGUUUUUCUUCAUAAAAUUCAAAUAUUUUAAUGAAUAAUGAAGAUGAGAUGAAAAUAAGUGAAAGAAAUCAUGAAAAAAUCAUCAGAAUGAAUGAACAUUCAUUUGACUGAUUUUAUCAACAGUUUUUGGAUUCCUGAUGAUGAUAAUGAUGAUUCAAAAGAGGCGAAUUGUGAAAAUUUCUUCAAUUUUUUCAAGUUAUAAAAAUUCAACUUGAGCAGAUUUUCGAGAACGAAUAUUUUGAAUAUUUUUUUUACUAAGUUUAUUGUACCUGGCAAGAGAGAAAAAAAUGUCAAGUGAUAUUGAAAAUAAAAUGAAAUAUAUAUUUUCUUAUAUAAUAAUAAUCA